GAUGAACGCUGGCGGCGUGCCUAAUACAUGCAAGUCGAGCGAACGGACGAGAAGCUUGCUUCUCUGAUGUUAGCGGCGGACGGGUGAGUAACACGUGGAUAACCUACCUAUAAGACUGGGAUAACUUCGGGAAACCGGAGCUAAUACCGGAUAAUAUUUUGAACCGCAUGGUUCAAAAGUGAAAGACGGUCUUGCUGUCACUUAUAGAUGGAUCCGCGCUGCAUUAGCUAGUUGGUAAGGUAACGGCUUACCAAGGCAACGAUGCAUAGCCGACCUGAGAGGGUGAUCGGCCACACUGGAACUGAGACACGGUCCAGACUCCUACGGGAGGCAGCAGUAGGGAAUCUUCCGCAAUGGGCGAAAGCCUGACGGAGCAACGCCGCGUGAGUGAUGAAGGUCUUCGGAUCGUAAAACUCUGUUAUUAGGGAAGAACAUAUGUGUAAGUAACUGUGCACAUCUUGACGGUACCUAAUCAGAAAGCCACGGCUAACUACGUGCCAGCAGCCGCGGUAAUACGUAGGUGGCAAGCGUUAUCCGGAAUUAUUGGGCGUAAAGCGCGCGUAGGCGGUUUUUUAAGUCUGAUGUGAAAGCCCACGGCUCAUCCGUGGAGGGUCAUUGGAAACUGGAAAACUUGAGUGCAGAAGAGGAAAGUGGAAUUCCAUGUGUAGCGGUGAAAUGCGCAGAGAUAUGGAGGAACACCAGUGGCGAAGGCGACUUUCUGGUCUGUAACUGACGCUGAUGUGCGAAAGCGUGGGGAUCAAACAGGAUUAGAUACCCUGGUAGUCCACGCCGUAAACGAUGAGUGCUAAGUGUUAGGGGGUUUCCGCCCCUUAGUGCUGCAGCUAACGCAUUAAGCACUCCGCCUGGGGAGUACGACCGCAAGGUUGAAACUCAAAGGAAUUGACGGGGACCCGCACAAGCGGUGGAGCAUGUGGUUUAAUUCGAAGCAACGCGAAGAACCUUACCAAAUCUUGACAUCCUUUGACAACUCUAGAGAUAGAGCUUUCCCCUUCGGGGGACAAAGUGACAGGUGGUGCAUGGUUGUCGUCAGCUCGUGUCGUGAGAUGUUGGGUUAAGUCCCGCAACGAGCGCAACCCUUAAGCUUAGUUGCCAUCAUUAAGUUGGGCACUCUAAGUUGACUGCCGGUGACAAACCGGAGGAAGGUGGGGAUGACGUCAAAUCAUCAUGCCCCUUAUGAUUUGGGCUACACACGUGCUACAAUGGACAAUACAAAGGGCAGCGAAACCGUGAGGUCAAGCAAAUCCCAUAAAGUUGUUCUCAGUUCGGAUUGUAGUCUGCAACUCGACUACAUGAAGCUGGAAUCGCUAGUAAUCGUAGAUCAGCAUGCUACGGUGAAUACGUUCCCGGGUCU
rnacentral:rRNA from 1 species